UACGUAGGGUGCAAGCGUUACUCGGAAUUACUGGGCGUAAAGCGUACGCAGGCGGCUGUGUAAGACAGGUGUGAAAUCCCCGGGCCUAACCUGGGAACUGCAUUUGUGACUGCAUAGCUAGAGUCUGUCAGAGGGGGGUGGAAUUCCACGUGUAGCAGUGAAAUGCGUAGAGAUGCGGAGGAACACCGAUGGCGAAGGCAGCCCCCUGGGCCGACAUUGACGCUCAGGCACGAAAGCGUGGGGAGCAAACAGG
rnacentral:rRNA from 1 species